GUAAAACAUCAUACCAUCCAAUUUUAAAUUCCUCUUUUUUUCUGGUUAGGUUCCGGUCCUUACACUGCAAGUUGUGAGUCUGAAGGGUUCUCAACAGGAAUGAUUAAGUGGCACGUUUACUGAAGAUCAAGGUAUCACAACAACAUUUUGACCUCUGAUGAGGUCUUCAUCAAGCUUGAUAAAGACCUCAUUUGAGGUCAAAACUUUACUGUAAUACUUGAUCUUC